AAAAAGUAGACUUCAGCAAACUUGGGGAACUGUGCUAGAAGAGUUUGAAUAUGCCAUGUCCACUUUGAAGACAACAAAGAACUUUUCAUCCAAGAGAAGGUUCGGAACAUCUAGCCAUGAGACAAGGAAUCUUCUGGCUGGAGCUUUUUGUAAUCCAUGGGAUUAUUUUUUAUAUAAAAGGUCUCAACACCCUGCAAAUAGUGAUGCCAAGUAGGAUGACAGCAUACAGAAGAAAAACAGGCAACUCUGCCAGUGAUGUACUGGCACUAGAUGUGCUGGAGGAAUCCUGCUACACAACUGGUCAUCUAAUAAAGAAAGAUAGUUUCCUGCCAAACAAGAGUUUUGCUUCAUUUAGACAUCUUAGUUUGUUAUGCAAUAACACCAACUAAAUUAUUAAAAUCUCUCUAAUGUAAUAGCCACUUCUUGGUGUUGUAAGCCAGUGGUUCCAGUAGAAUUUAUCCACUUACCAACUAGCACAGCUAAACACGCU
rnacentral:lncRNA from 1 species